GCCGGGCAUCGUGGCACACACCUGUAAUCCCAGCAGCUUGGGAGGCAGAGACAGGAGGAUCAUGCUUCCAAAGCCACCUCAGUAAAAAAGCGAGAUGCUAAGCAGCUCAGUGAGACCCUGUCUCUA
rnacentral:SRP_RNA from 1 species